GGUUAUGCCGGCGCUUAUAUAACAACGUUUUUAAAAACGCUGCAGAAAGGUGGUGCUUCUUUCAAUAAACGUCACGUCACUCCGUACGAAGAGGAAGGCCUGUUGCGUUUUUCUAUAUAUCAGAUAAAAAAAAUAUUUUACAAAAUCCCUCUCUCAUAAAAAGAAGCGUGAGGGAGAGAUGAGGGUUUUUACUUUUUAGUGAGAGAAAGUUUGCAAGAAUGGCGUCUAGGGUUUGGAUCUGCUGAUUUUUCUUCGAUUUCUCAGUAAUCAUUUUAUUUAGGCUUUGGAUCUAUGUGUUAUUCAAUUUCCCUCUAAUUGAUUUGCGAUUUGCCUUUGAAAGCGAGGAGUUAUAGACGAAUCGAAACUAUUGGUUCGAUUUCUACACUUCACCGGAUCUGAUCUCAAAACUUGUAUUUCGUGCUCUAUUUGCGUCGAAUCGAUCCCGAUGUUCCCAUGGUUCAAGAAGAAGAGGCAUCUUAGAACUAACAGGUUUGAUCUCGAAGCCUGUGUUCCGAUGGUUCGAGAAUGAGAGAUCGAUGUGGUACUUUAACUGGUUUUAGUAAUGAGGCCUUUGUUUUUUAUUUUCAACCUCAAGAUCCUGAAAAUAUAUAUGUAGCACUUGCAGUUCUAUCUGGCAGAAAAAUACAAGUUUUCCGAGGGGUCACAUAGCAUAAUUUCCAGCUACUUGGGAAAAAAGGCAUUAAAAUGGAAGUUAUGGAAGUACUCUAAUGCAAUUAAAGGAGAGAUAGCGAAUAUCUUUUGAUUCCAUAUGUAUAGCUGUGGCAUCUCAAGCUUCUUCAGCUAAUAUAAAGAAGAAAACAGAGAAACAUGUUGAUGAUGGUGGUGGUGAUAUAGUUGAAGCAGUACCAAACCUGAAGUUGCUUCAGCAUCAUCAUUGGGAGGUGCUAAUUGAAGUUUUCAAAGACGGAAAAUUUCGUGAUCAGGGUUUUUGGUGUGGCAAUGUCCCAGCACUCCUCAUGGUUAUGCCAUAUACUGCCAUACAAUUUACUGUGUUACACAAAUUGAAGACAUUUGCAACUGGUUCUUCCAAGACAGGUUUGUUAAACAACUCAAACAACAUCAUCAGAGACACAAC